CGUGUAGGCGGCCCGGCACGUCAUUGGCUGAAAUCCCCCGGCUCAACCGGGGAAGGGGCCGUGAUACGACCGGGCUGGAGGGGGGUAGGGGGGACGGGAACUCACGGUGGAGCGGUGAAAUGCGUUGAGAUCGUGAGGAACGCCCGCGGCGAAAGCGCGUCCCUGGACCCCACCUGACGCUGAGACGCGAAAGCCAGGGGAGCGAACG
rnacentral:rRNA from 1 species